GGUGCCCCAUAGGAUCCCAUAGGAGCCCUUAAAGGUGCUAAUGGGUUUGGCCUAUAAGAAAACCCAUAGGACCCCAUGGGUGCUGAUGCGUGCCCCCAUUGCCCCCCCAAAACAUUUCUAUCCCAUAAUGAUUCUUACGGGAUGGGGGAUGAUCAUUUGGGAUGGGGGCGGGCCAUUGUGGGAUGGAGAAGCCUCAUUAUGGGCUGGGGUCUCAUUAAGGUCUGGGGUCUCUCAUUUAAGGUCUGGGGUCUCUCAUUAUGGCUGGGGGUCUCUCAUUUAAGGUCUGGGGUCUCAUUAGGUCUGGGGUUCUCAUUAAGGUCUGGGGUCUCUUACGGUCUGGGGUCUCUCAUAAGGUCUGGGGUCUCUCAUUAA
rnacentral:lncRNA from 1 species